rnacentral:lncRNA from 1 species
UUAUUUUGGAAUUUUUUUUGAAAAGUUGGUUAUUUUGUGAUGUAGGACUCUCUUUAGCAUCUUUCGAUUUUUCUCUUUUUUUCUUUCAUUGCCUUAUGUUUUGUUCUCGUCCUCAAACUAUUUUUUCUCUAAUUCCUCACCGAUAAUCCAAACCGAGCAGAAAAUUGUAUGAACCCUAAAAACGGAAUAUGAAAUUAUAUGGCACAGAGGAGGAAUCAAAGCCUAAAAUGUUAGGGCUUUGAUUCCUCAUACCUAAUUCUACAUGGUGGUAACGACUUCAGUGUGUAUUAAGGAGGAAGAGACUCACCUACUACGUGAAGAUUGGCCCCGGAGCUGUAGAAGUUGAAGAAGAAGAUGAUGAACAAGAGUAUUAGAAAUUCUGCAAUGAGGUAAACAACUCAAAUCCCAAGUUAUCACAGUGGAAUUUCCUUAUUCUUAUUCUUCUUCUUCUUAAGAGUGUAGUUUGUAGGUGAAAUUGGUGUUUCUCUGUGUUCAUUGUUGUAUGUGCGUGAGAGAAUAGUGAAAGAUUUGCAGAGAGGGAGAGUUUCAGUGAAUUUGUGAAUUGUGAUUCGAUGAUGAAUAGGGAAUGAGAGGAUUUAUAGGGAUGUUUAUGCAACUAACUCGGGCAAGCUAUGGCAGGUCUGUUUGUAGUUAGGGCAGGGUUAGAUUGUUAGUUGAAUCAAGGAGAAAGUUAGUUAUGAUGAAUGUAACUCUGUUAGAUUUUCUGUUAAAGUUAGUUAGCGUUUGAACUUGAGGUUAGUUGAGGUUAGUUGAUUUUGAAUUUGAAGUGUUAGUGAGUUAUAGUAGGCUUUAGUUAGAAGUGAAGUUGGUUCCUCCUGUUAGUAAUAGUUAGUGUAAUUAUGAGGCUGUUAGUUGAAUGAAUGAGUUAAUCAUUGUUAAAAUCUUGCUGUAGCAGCUAGCUAAAUGUUAGAAGUUGAAAAAAUUGUAGUUAUCAUUGAAUUGAAUUGGUGUUAUGAAAAUGUGAAUGUUAGUUUUUUGAUGUCAUGGUCUAGGCUGCUAUUGUUUUGGAAUUGUCAAUUAGUGCAUAUAUGUAGCAGACCAUUAAUUGAAUUGUUAGGAUUGAGUUAAUGAAUUUAAGCUGUUUGAAGAACUGCCAUGGACUGAUUUUGGAUCAAUGGGACUUUUAGAAGUUAGUUAACAUGUUUAUGGUGAUGUCAGUUAUGAAGUUAGUUUGUUAUAUCAGUUAGAACAUAUUAGUCAUGUGAUUGUAUCGCUUGAUUAUUUGAUGCAUAACCUACUAUGAUUAGUGCAAACAUAAGUGACUGUUAGUAGAAGUUAAAUGAAAUAUUUAGAACUUGUUUAAUAUUGAGUUGUUAUGCUAAUUCGUAUGACUAUUAGUGGUUAAGGUUUGGAAUUUUGGACUGUGAUUCUUGGUUUAGAUGUAUGCUUAUGGUGAAACUAAGUGAUAUGCUUGACUGCACCUGACUUGUUCUUCUAUGUAUUGAACUUCAUUGGCCUAAAUGCUUGACAUGAUGUACAUAUGGAUUUGAAUGCAUGCUUACUUGACUAAUUUGGAAAUUGAUGAAUGGUUUACUUUGAAUGGGAAAUGGCUUGUGUCUACCAUGGUUUGUUUGAUUAUUGAUUAUGUAUGUUGGUGUGAUUGGUGCAGGACUGGCUGGUGUGGUCAUGGCUUGGCUUUGAAGACAGCAUCAUAAUGGCAUGCAAGGUUGGCAAUGCAUGAAGAAUUUUAGCACUAAGGCGCGAAGGAUUUUGAAAACAUUGGAGGCUUGGAGAAUCACAAAGAUGGGAUGGCUUGUAAAUGAAGAAAAGUAGAAUAGGGUUUAGGAUAGGUAGUUGACUUUGGUCAAAUGUUUGACCAAAAAGUCAACAGUUGACCAAAAGUCAACUCUAGGUCAAAGUAGCAUUUUUUCUAUAGAAUUUUGUUUGACUUUUGUAGUGGAAUGUUUGAAGGUUUUGUGAUGGAAAUUGAUCUUUGAAUGGCAAUGCAACUUGUUCUUCAAGAAAAACAUUUGUUCCUCCAAUUGGCAUUUGAAUAUUCGAAUUUGAAUUGAUCUUGUAUGAAUUGUGAACUAUAAUGCAUUGCCUUGAAUCCAAACCAAACAACUAAUGGACUAGUGUAUUAAAA